GUUGAUCCUGCCGGAGGUCACUGCUAUUGGGAUUCGACUAAGCCAUGCGAGUCGAGAGGGUUCGGCCCUCGGCAGACUGCUCAGUAACACGUGGAUAAUCUGCCCUUAGGUGGAGGAUAACCUUGGGAAACUGAGAAUAAUACUCCAUAGAUCUAAGAUGCUGGAAUGUACUUAGAUUAAAAGCUCCGGCGCCUAAGGAUGAGUCUGCGGACUAUCAGGUUUAGUCAGGGUAAGGACCUGACUAGCCUACAACGGAUACGGGUUGUGAGAGCAAUAACCCGGAGACGAUAUCUGAGACACGAUAUCGGGCCCUACGGGGCGCAGCAGGCGCGAAACCUUCACAAUGUGCGAAAGCGCGAUGAGGGGAUCCCAAGUGCUUGCACUUAAGUGUAAGCUGUUUCUUUGUUUAAAACGCAGAGAGAGGAAGGGCUGGGUAAGACGGGUGCCAGCCGCCGCGGUAAUACCUGCAGCUCAAGUGGUGACCGCUAUUAUUGGGCCUAAAACGUUCGUAGCCGGCUGAGUAAAUGCUUGGGUAAAUCGUGCCGCUUAACGGUACGAAUUCCGGGUAGACUGCUCAGCUUGAGACUGGGAGAAGCUAGAGGUACUCCUGGGGUAGAGGUGAAAUUCUGUAAUCCUGGGGGGACCACCAGUGGCGAAGGCGUCUAGCUAGAACGGGUCUGACGGUGAGGGACGAAACCCUGGGGCGCAAACCGGAUUAGAUACCCGGGUAGUCCAGGGCGCAAACCUGCUUGCUUGAUGUUAGCUGGGCUCCGGGCUCAGCUAGCGUCGGAGAGAAGUUGUUAAGCAAGCUGCCUGGGAAGUACGAUCGCAAGAUUGAAACUUAAAGGAAUUGGCGGGGGAGCACAGCAACGGGUGGAGCGUGCGGUUUAAUUGGAUACAACGCCGGAAAACUCACCGGAGGCGACGGUUACAUGAAGGCCAGGCUGAUGACCUUGCCUGAUUUUCCGAGAGGUGGUGCAUGGCCGCCGUCAGUUCGUACCGUAAGGCGUUCUGUUAAGUCAGAUAACGAACGAGACCCUCAUCCUUAAUUGCUAUUGACAACUUUGGUUAUCAAGCACAUUAAGGAGACCGCUGGCGAUAAGUCAGAGGAAGGCGAGGGCAACGGUAGGUCAGUAUGCCCUGAAUCUUCCGGGCUACACGCGCGCUACAAAGGCCAGGACAAUGGGUUUCAACACCGAAAGGUGACGGUAAUCUCGAAGCCUGGUCAUAGUUCGGAUUGAGGAUUGAAACUCAUCCUCAUGAAGCUGGAAUCCGUAGUAAUCGCGGAUCAACAUCCCGCGGUGAAUAUGCCCCUGCUCCUUGCACACACCGCCCGUCAAACCAUGCGAGUUGGGUCGAAGUGAGGAUGUAGUAUUUUGCUGCGUUCAAACUUAGGCUUAGCAAGCGGGGUUAAGUCGUAACAAGGUAUCCGUA
rnacentral:rRNA from 1 species